UGUUACUCUAGGUGUUAAGUACGGACCAGUUUAGUGGUUCUGCCGGGCAAUUACGUUCUAACGAGUAAAAGUCGAAGUACCUGGCGGUUUAAGAUAUCUCGUCUCGUGAGACUUGACGGUUAAUCCGAUAAUCCGCGUUACACCGUACCUGCCCUUGUGUUGAGUAUCAGUUGGUGUAUGGUCGUUGUCAGCUCUUACUGAUGAGGUAUUAAGGAAUGUGGCAUGGUUCGUUUGGAUCCCUGAAAUUUUUUGGGUGAAAUGCAAAUAGCAGAAUAUAAAACGAAGGAAGUCAGAUCGUUAUGCCGCCCAUGGGCGGGGCUUAGUUGAGUCACAUUGAUUAGAUUGGCGGAAGCUUUUUUGAAAUAAAGAGCGAAAGAAGGAAUGAGUAGUAAUGAAAAAUUAGUACGUUUUCAUGAAUGGUAAAUUCUUAAGUGUACAAAUCGCCC
rnacentral:rRNA from 1 species